ensembl:lncRNA
AUUGCAAGAGAGCAAGCUAGCAUUGUCCUCCAGGGCCAGCCUCUCAGGGCGGGAGCAGAGAAGGUGGCGGACGGGAGCUGGGGGGCAAGGAGAGUGACCAGUACCAAGACGAAACCCCAGCUCUCCGGGCUAGAGGUUCUAGCUGGAGGUCAUGGACCCACCACCAGAACUGGUCCUGCUCGCUCAUCCUGGCCUCUGUCGUGGGCGCCUUCGGCUCCUCCUUCCUCUACGGGUACAACCUCUCGGUGGUGAACGCCCCGACUCCGGUGAGUGCCCCGCGGCAGCGGGAUAUGCCCGGCAGAGGGCGCUGCGGCAACGCGGAAAACCUGGUGUGACCACCUCGCCCUCGCUGGUACCCGGUUCUGCAAGCUGCAGGCCGGUUCUGGGCCAGACCCUUGCUGGACACUGCCGGGAGGGGAGGGGCCGAGGGAGUGAGGCCAGCCCCCACCCUCGAGGUGGAGGUGGGAGAUACAGAAACAGAGCAGGAUGAUGCGUGGAGUCAGUUCCUUGCCCUGGAACAUCCUGGGAGAGUGUAGGGGGAGGAGAGGGGUCUUUGGAGGUCGCAGGGGCCAGAUUCUAAGGGUCUUAUUCCAGGGCAGGAAGCACCAAAUCUGAGGAGCUAUGGCGGGAUCUGAGGCAUGGAAACUUUUCCUGAUCUGUUCUUUCUGUGUUGAUGGCUUUAAAUCACAGCUAGAGGUCACUUGAGUUUCUCUUGGUUUAAGAUCCAUUGCUAGCCUUUGUUUUCUUCUGAAAUGAGGCCAUUGGAUGCAAGUCCUCAGGCCCUCCUAGUACCACUCUGCUGGUUUGCAGAUGAGGGUUUGUUCUCACCCACCUAGGCUUAGGUGCCACCCAUUCCCCAGGAGGAGCUGGUUUCUGCCUGACCUACCUCCACCCCUAGGGGAAAAUAGUGGGCUGAGGGUGGUGUGUGGGAAGACUUCCUGGAGGAGGUGAUGCCAGGGCUGCAUCUGAAGGUGGAGCAAAGGCGUAGAAGCUUAAGAUAUGCAACAUUUGCAGAAAUGCAGGUCGGAUGUGGUUGGAGCCCAGGGUGUAUUUUGGAGAACAUGAGCUAAAGAUGCGGACAGAAGCCGGGCUGUGGACCUUCCCUGAUGCUUUUAAGAUUUCCUCUUGAUGUUCCUUUUGUGGUGAAGCAGAAACAAAUCUGACUAGUGUCCAUGAGGAUGUGGGCUCGAUCCCUGGCCUUGCUCAGUGGGUUAAGGAUCCUGCAUUGCUGUGGCUGUGGUGUAGGCCGGCAGCUGCAGCUCUGAUUCAACCCCUAGCCUGGGAACUUCCAUAUGCCUUGGGUGUGGCCCUAAAAAGCAAAAAAAAAAAAAAAAAGAUUUCUUCUUAUUUGGGGGCCCAGCACACUGUAUGCAAAAUGCAAAAUGCAGGUGGAGGAUGCAGGGAUCCAGACUUCAUUUGUGGCAGGACAGCUCUGUUUUUCACUCUCUCAGCUCUUUUACAUUUGUGGUCUCUGUAAGUUCAUUGGAAAAAGUGAUUCUGGUGCUAAAAACAAUUUGAAAACCAGGGGGCCGCGAUGGGUUCUCCGAGUGCUUGCAUCAAUCAGUGACUUUGAUUCUGCCAUUGUGAUGCCAUCCUGCAGUGGGAUCUGAAUUGUCUAUGCUUGUCUUUGAGAGGACUGGGAAUUGGAACCGGUAGCUGCAGCUCCGAUUCAAGCCCUAACCUGGGAAUUUCCAUAUGUGUGGGCGCGGCCCUGAUAAAGAAAUGUUUUUGCUUAAAAUCUUUCUAUUUAAGAGCAGUUUUAGGUUCGGGGUGAAAGUGUUUGGAAAGGCACAGAAUUUCCGUAUGCCCUCUGCCCCCACACGUGGACAGCUUCCCCCUCCAGUGACAUCCUGCCCCAAAGCGGUGCCUUCAUUAUAACUGAUGAGCCCACCUCGACACCUCGUUAUCACCCAAAGCCCACAGCUUAUGCCCAGGUUCACUCUUGGCGCUGUGCACUCUGUGGAUUUUAACAAAUACGGAAUGACUUGUACCCACCACGGUAUCUUACACAACAGCUUCCCUGCCCGAAACCUGUGCUCUGUCUGUGCAUCCUCACCCCACCCCCCAGCCGUAGCCACCGACCUUGUUACUGUCUCUCGCGGCCGUACCUUGUUUUAUUGUAUGUUGCUUCAUUGCAGAUACUGCAGAUUUUCCAAAUUGAGGGUUUGCACAACGGCAUCCGCUCACUCGGUGCCUUGGUGUCACAUUUGGAUAACCCUCACAAUGUUUUAAACUUUUUCAUUAUGCGUAUGGUGAUCUGUGAGCAGUGAUCUUUGACGUGGCUCUUGCACUUGUUGGGGGGCUUCAUGAACUGCGGCCCCGUAAGACAGUGAACUGAAUGGAUAAAUAUUGUGUGUGUUCUGACGGCUCCACCCACCGGCCACUCCCCCAUCUCUCCCUCUCUCUCUCUGUCUCUCAUUCUCUCUCCUUGGGCCUCCCUGUUCCCUGAGACACAACAACAUUGAAAUGAGGUCAGUGAAUAACCCUGCAGUGGCCUCUGAGUGUUCAAGUGAAGGGAAGAAUUGCAUGUCUCCCUCUUUAAAUCAAAAGGUAGAAACGAUGGGGGAGUUCCCGUCGUGGCGCAGUUGUUAGCGAAUCCGACUAGGAACCAUGAGGUUGUGGGUUCGAUCCCUGGCCUUGCUCAGUGGAUUAAGGAUCCGGCAUUUCUGUGAGCUGCGGUGUAGGUCGAAGAUGCGGCUUGGGUCCCGCAUUGCUGUGGCUGUGGUGUAGGCUGGUGGCUACAGUUCCGAUUCAACCCCUAGCCUAGGAAUCUCAUAUGCCACGGAAGUGGCCCUAUGGCAAAAAGACCAAAAAAAAAAAAAAAAAAAA